GCUGCAUGGCUGUCGUCAGCUUCGUGUUGUGAAUGUUGGGUUAAGUCCCGCAACGAGCGCAACCCUUAUCCUUUGUUGCCAGCACGUGAAUGGUGGGAACUCAAAGGAGACUGCCGGUGAUAAACCGGAGGAAGGUGGGGAUGACGUCAAGUCAUCAUGGCCCUUACGAGUAGGGCUACACACGUGCUACAAUGGCAGAUACAAAGUGAAGCGAACUCGCGAGAGCAAGCGGACCAGAUAAAG
rnacentral:rRNA from 1 species